rnacentral:rRNA from 1 species
AGAGGGUGCAAGCGUUAAUCGGAAUUACUGGGCGUAAAGGGGCGUGUAGGGUGGGUUUUAAAAGUUGGGCUGUGAAAGCCCCGGGCUUAACCUGGGAGGGUCAGCCAAAACUAUAAGACUAGAGUACGGUAGAGGGUAGUGGAAUUUCCGGUGUAGCGGUGAAAUGCGUAGAUAUCGGAAGGAACACCAGUGGCGAAGGCGACUACCUGGACUGAUACUGACACUGAGGCGCGAAAGCGUGGGGAGCGAACAGGAUUAGAUACCCUGGUAGUCCACGCCGUAAACGAUGAGAACUAGCCGUUGGGGACGUAAGUCUUUAGUGGCGCAGCUAACGCGAUAAGUUCUCCGCCUGGGGAGUACGGCCGCAAGGCUA